rnacentral:rRNA from 1 species
CGGGUGGUAAUGCCGGAUGUUCCACAUGAUCGCAUGUGAUUGUGGGAAAGAUUCUAUCGGCGUGGGAUGGGGUCGCGUCCUAUCAGCUUGUUGGUGAGGUAACGGCUCACCAAGGCUUCGACGGGUAGCCGGCCUGAGAGGGCGACCGGCCACAUUGGGACUGAGAUACGGCCCAGACUCCUACGGGAGGCAGCAGUGGGGAAUAUUGCACAAUGGGCGCAAGCCUGAUGCAGCGACGCCGCGUGAGGGAUGGAGGCCUUCGGGUUGUAAACCUCUUUUGUUUGGGAGCAAGCCUUCGGGUGAGUGUACCUUUCGAAUAAGCGCCGGCUAACUACGUGCCAGCAGCCGCGGUAAUACGUAGGGCGCAAGCGUUAUCCGGAUUUAUUGGGCGUAAAGGGCUCGUAGGCGGCUCGUCGCGUCCGGUGUGAAAGUCCAUCGCUUAACGGUGGAUCUGCGCCGGGUACGGGCGGGCUGGAGUGCGGUAGGGGAGACUGGAAUUCCCGGUGUAACGGUGGAAUGUGUAGAUAUCGGAAA